rnacentral:rRNA from 1 species
UACGUAGGGGGCUAGCGUUGUCCGGAAUCAUUGGGCGUAAAGCGCGCGUAGGCGGCCCGGUAAGUCCGCUGUAAAAGUCAAAAGGCUCAACCUUUGAAUGUCAGUGGAUACUGCCGGGCUAGAGUCCGGAAGAGGCGAGUGGAAUUCCUGGUGUAGCGGUGGAAUGCGCAGAUAUCAGGAGGAACACCAAUGGCGAAGGCAGCUCGCUGGGACGGUACUGACGCUAAGGCGCGAAAAGCGUGGGGGAGCAAACAGG